UGGCUGUUCGCUGCAGGGUCUCCUGGCUUGGCGGCACAAGAGCUAAGGUCUGCUUCUGCAGAGGCUUUUCAUGAAGAGCUGUGGUCCUUCCUCAACCUCCCUACCAUUGGAGGUGCCUGGUAGUAGAGUAAGCUGAGGUCACAGGUCAGCCCAUUCCUGACGAUUCUUGUAAUUGGACAGGACGUGCUUUGUGUGGUCUGAUUACCUCUUUUCUUUUGGACCCAACGGGAGCCAUCAAUUAGUACCAUGCUUGUGCCUAAGGCUGACCUGAACCAUUUGAUGGCAGAUCUUCCAUGAAACACCCGGUACCACUUUAUUCCCAGGAAUCUUAAUUACAAAGCAUUACUCUGAUGGAUGUAUUAAGUAGCCUCAAUUCACCCUGGUUUGCAGCCCUUCGAGAAGCCACGCCCCCUCAUCCUUUUCUUCCCUCCUUUGCUGCCCCAGAGUACUGGUGCCUGGAAAGUUUUAUGGCAAAUAAACAUGGAGGAGUGA